rnacentral:rRNA from 2 species
UCUGAGCAGGGUAAGCCGGCCCCUAAGGCGAGGCCGAAAGGCGUAGUCGAUGGGAACCAGGUUAAUAUUCCUGGGCCAGGAGAUGGUGACGGAUCGCAGAGCUAGUUCUUCCUUAUCGGAUUGGAAGGGCUGGUGAGCGGUUCCUGGAAAUAGCCCUCCACAAGACCGUACCCUAAACCGACACAGGUGGACUGGUAGAGAAUACCAAGGCGCUUGAGAGAACCACAUUUAAGGAACUCGGCAAAAUACCUCCGUAAGUUCGCGAGAAGGAGGCCCGGUUGCUGCGCAAGCAGUGGCUGGGGGCACAAACCAGGGGGUGGCGACUGUUUACUAAAAACACAGGGCUCUGCGAAGCCGUAAGGCGACGUAUAGGGUCUGACGCCUGCCCGGUGCCGGAAGGUUAAAAGGAGAGGUGCAAGCCUUGAAUUGAAGCCCCGGUAAACGGCGGCCGUAACUAUAACGGUCCUAAGGUAGCGAAAUUCCUUGUCGGGUAAGUUCCGACCUGCACGAAUGGCGUAACGACUUCCCCGCUGUCUCAAAUGUGGACUCAGCGAAAUUGAAUUGUCUGUGAAGAUGCAGACUUCCCGCGGUUAGACGGAAAGACCCCAUGCACCUUUACUAUAGCUUCGCACUGGCAUCAGGAUUGUGAUGUGCAGGAUAGGUGGUAGGCAUUGAAACCGGGACGCCAGUUCCGGUGGAGCCAUCCUUGAGAUACCACCCUUCGCACUCUUGAUGUCUAACCGCGGCCCGUUAUCCGGGUCCGGGACCCUGCGUGGUGGGUAGUUUGACUGGGGCGGUCGCCUCCCAAAGAGUAACGGAGGCGCGCGAAGGUUGGCUCAGAGCGGUCGGAAAUCGCUCGUUGAGUGCAAUGGCAGAAGCCAGCCUGACUGCAAGACUGACAAGUCGAGCAGAGACGAAAGUCGGCCAUAGUGAUCCGGUGGUCCCGAGUGGAAGGGCCAUCGCUCAACGGAUAAAAGGUACGCUGGGGAUAACAGGCUGAUGAUGCCCAAGAGUCCAUAUCGACGGCAUCGUUUGGCACCUCGAUGUCGGCUCAUCUCAUCCUGGGGCUGGAGCAGGUCCCAAGGGUAUGGCUGUUCGCCAUUUAAAGAGGUACGUGAGCUGGGUUUAGAACGUCGUGAGACAGUUCGGUCCCUAUCUGCCGUGGGUGUAGGAUACUUGAGAGGAGUUGCCCCUAGUACGAGAGGACCGGGGUGAACGUUCCACUGGUGGACCAGUUGUCGUGCCAACGGCAGUGCUGGGUAGCUAUGAACGGACAGGAUAAACGCUGAAGGCAUCUAAGCGUGAAGCCCCCCUCAAAACAAGGUAUCCCUUGAGAGCCGUGGAAGACCACCACGUCGAUAGGCCGGAGAUGUAAGCGCAGCAAUGCGUUCAGUUGACCGGUACUAAUGGCUCGAUUGGCUUGAUUUG